GACGAACGCUGGCGGCGUGCCUAAUACAUGCAAGUCGAACGGACAGGCCCUGCUCUUGUUGCGUGCUCGAGAGGCGCAGGGGUGAGUAACACGUGAGUAACACGCCCCUAUCUUUGGGGUAACUUCAGGAAAAUGGGGCUCAUAUAGGAUAUGAGCUCCUGCUGCAUGGUGGGGGAUGGAAAGUUUCGGCGGUUGGGGCUGUACUCGCGGCGUAUCAGCUUGUUGGUGGGGUUGUGGCUUACCAAGGUUUUGACGGGUAGCCGGCCUGAGAGGGUGACCGGCCACAUUGAGACUGAGAGACGGCCGAGACUCCUACGGGAGGCAGCAGUGGGGAAUAUUGCACAAUGGACGGAAGCCUGAUGCAGCAACGCCGCGUGCGGGAUAACGGCCUUCGGGUUGAAAACCGCUUGCGCCUGUAACGAAGCGUGAGUGACGGUAAUGGAUAAAGAAGCACCGGCUAACUACGUG
rnacentral:rRNA from 1 species